CGACCGGCGCACGGGUGAGUAACACGUAUGCAACCUGGCCGUCAUAGGUGGAUAACCGGAAGAAAUUCCGACUAAUACAGCAUAACACUCCUGAGGGACAUCCCUUGGGAGUCAAAGGAGGCAACUCCGGUGACGGAUGGGCAUGCGGCGCAUUAGGUAGUUGGUAGGGUAACGGCCUACCAAGCCGACGAUGCGUAGGGGUUCUGAGAGGAAGGUCCCCCACAUUGGAACUGAGACACGGUCCAAACUCCUACGGGAGGCAGCAG
rnacentral:rRNA from 1 species